rnacentral:rRNA from 1 species
GCAAGUCGAGGGGUAACAGGAGUGCUUGCACUCGCUGACGACCGGCGCACGGGUGAGUAACGCGUAUGCAACCUGCCCACUACAGGGGGAUAGCCCGGGGAAACCCGGAUUAAUACCCCAUAAUACCAUAAAGCGGCAUCGUUUAAUGGUUAAAGCUUCGGCGGUAGUGGAUGGGCAUGCGUGCCAUUAGCUAGUUGGUGGGGUAACGGCCCACCAAGGCUACGAUGGCUAUGGGGUCUAAAAGGAUGGUC